rnacentral:rRNA from 1 species
CCCAGACUCCUACGGGAGGCAGCAGUGAGGAAUAUUGGUCAAUGGUCGGGAGACUGAACCAGCCAAGCCGCGUGAGGGAUGAAGGUACAGAGUAUCGUAAACCUCUUUUGCCAGGGGACAAAGGCGGCCACGGGUGGCCGUAAGAGGGUACCUGGAGAAAAAGCAUCGGCUAACUCCGUGCCAGCAGCCGCGGUAAUACGGAGGAUGCGAGCGUUAUCCGGAUUUAUUGGGUUUAAAGGGUGCGCAGGCGGCGUGUCAAGUCAGCGGUAAAAUGUCGGGGCUCAACCCCGUACUGCCGUUGAAACUGCAUCCCUUGAGUGCGCGAGAAGUAUGCGGAAUGCGUGGUGUAGCGGUGAAAUGCAUAGAUAUCACGCAGAACUCCGAUUGCGAAGGCAGCAUACCGGCGCGCAACUGACGCUCAUGCACGAAAGCGUGGGUAUCGAACAGGAUUAGAUACCCCGGUAGC